rnacentral:rRNA from 1 species
GUGCACCAGGCGCGAAACCUCCGCAAUACACGAAAGUGUGACGGGGCCAUCCCGAGUGCCGUCCGCUGAGGACGGCUUUUCCCCAGUGUACACAGCUGGGGGAAUAAGGAGAGGGCAAGCCUGGUGUCAGCCGCCGCGGUAAUACCAGCUCUCCGAGUGGUGGGGACGCUUAUUGGGCCUAAAGCAUCCGUAGCCGGCUGGGCAAGUCCUCCGUUAAAUCCAACGAUUCAAUCGUUGGGCUGCGGGGGAUACUGUCCAGCUUGGGGGCGGGAGAGGCCGACGGUAUUCCCGGGGUAGGGGUGAAAUCCUAUAAUCCCGGGAGGACCACCAGUGGCGAAGGCUGUCGGCUAGAACGCGCCCGACGGUGAGGGAUGAAAGCUGGGGGAGCGAACCGGAUUAGAUACCCCGGUAGU